rnacentral:rRNA from 1 species
UACAGAGGUGGCAAGCGUUGUUCGGAAUUACUGGGCGUAAAGGGCGCGUAGGCGGCCCUCUUAGUCGGACGUGAAAUCCCCAGGCUCAACUUGGGAACUGCGUCCGAUACUGGAGGGCUCGAGUGCGGGAGAGGGAUGUGGAAUUCCAGGUGUAGCGGUGAAAUGCGUAGAUAUCUGGAGGAACACCGGUGGCGAAGGCGGCAUCCUGGACCGACACUGACGCUGAUGCGCGAAAGCCAGGGGAGCGAACGGG